rnacentral:rRNA from 1 species
CCUACGUGUGGCAGCAGUGAGGAAUAUUGGUCAAUGGGAGAGAUCCUGAACCAGCCAAGCCGCGUGAGGGAAGACGGCCCUAUGGGUUGUAAACCUCUUUUGUCGGAGCACAAAACCCGGGACGUGUCCCGGACUGCGUGUAUCCGAAGAAAAAGCAUCGGCUAACUCCGUGCCAGCAGCCGCGGUAAUACAUAGGUGGCAAGCGUUGUCCGGAAUGCCUGGGCGUAAAGGGAGCGUAGGCGGUCUGUUAAGUGGGAAGUGAAAUCCCGGGGCUCAACCCCGGAACUGCUUUCAAGACUGACGGACUUGAGUGUAAGAGGGGUAAGCGGAAUUCCUAGUGUAGCGGUGGAAUGCGUAGAUAUUAGGAGGAACACCAGUGGCGAAGGCGGCUUACUGGAUUAUAACUGACGCUGAGGCUCGAAAGCGUGGGUAGCAAACAGGAUUAGAUACCCCUGUAGUC